AGUGGCGGACGGGUGAGUAAUGUCUGGGAAACUGCCUGAUGGGGGGGGAUAACUACUGGAAACGGUAGCUAAUACCGCAUAACGUCGCAAGACCAAAGAGGGGGACCUUCGGGCCUCUUGCCAUCGGAUGUGCCCAGAUGGGAUUAGCUAGUAGGUGGGGUAACGGCUCACCUAGGCGACGAUCCCUAGCUGGUCUGAGAGGAUGACCAGCCACACUGGAACUGAGACACGGUCCAGACUCCUACGGGAGGCAGCAUG
rnacentral:rRNA from 1 species